AGAUAAUUUACUCCUGAUGGAUGAAACAGCUUUUAGCUCAUUGAGGAUAUUCUAUAGAGAAAAUCACCCAUCAGUGUAUAAAGGAUCGUCUGGUUCUAAAGAAGGACUCUCAUUAUUUGGUAUUGCUAAUCACACAAGGUCAUCUUUG